CAAGCAGCGGAGCGUGUGGUUUAAUUCGAUGCUACACGAAGAACCUUACCAGGGUUUGACAUACAAGUAGUAGGAAAGGAAACUGGACGACCCUUCGGGAGCUUGUACAGGUGCUGCAUGGCUGUCGUCAGCUCGUGUCGUGAGAUGUUCGGUUAAGUCCGCUAACGAGCGCAACCCUCGCUGUGUGUUACAAGUGUCACACGGAACUGCCGGUCAUAAGCCGGAGGAAGUGGGAUGACGUCAAGUCAGCAUGGCCUUUAUGUCCUGGGCUACACACGUGCUACAAUGGCCGGUACAGACGGACGCAAAGCCGCGAGGUGGAGCAAAUCCUAAAAAGCCGGUCUCAGUUCGGAUUGCAGGCUGCAAUUCGCCUGCAUGAAGUCGGAAUCGCUAGUAAUCGCAGGUCAGCAUACUGCGGUGAAUACGUUCCCGGGCCUU
rnacentral:rRNA from 1 species